rnacentral:rRNA from 1 species
AUGAGCUCGCGGCCUAUCAGCUUGUUGGUGAGGUAAUGGCUCACCAAGGCGUCGACGGGUAGCCGGCCUGAGAGGGUGACCGGCCACACUGGGACUGAGACACGGCCCAGACUCCUACGGGAGGCAGCAGUGGGGAAUAUUGCACAAUGGGCGGAAGCCUGAUGCAGCAACGCCGCGUGAGGGAUGACGGCCUUCGGGUUGUAAACCUCUUUUAGCAGGGAAGAAGCGAAAGUGACGGUACCUGCAGAAAAAGCGCCGGCUAACUACGUGCCAGCAGCCGCGGUAAUACGUAGGGCGCAAGCGUUAUCCGGAAUUAUUGGGCGUAAAGAGCUCGUAGGCGGUCUGUCGCGUCUGCUGUGAAAACCCGAGGCUCAACCUCGGGCCUGCAGUGGGUACGGGCAGACUAGAGUGCGGUAGGGGAGAUUGGAAUUCCUGGUGUAGCGGUGGAAUGCGCAGAUAUCAGGAGGAACACCGAUGGCGAAGGCAGAUCUCUGGGCCGUAACUGACGCUGAGGAGCGAAAAGGGUGGGGAGCAAACAGGCUUAGAUACCCUGGUAGUCCACCCCGUAAACGUUGGGAACUAGUUGUGGGGUCCAUUCCACGGAUUCCGUGACGCAGCUAACGCAUUAAGUUCCCCGCCUGGGGAGUACGGCCGCAAGGCUAAAACUCAAAGGAAUUGACGGGGACCCGCACAAGCGGCGGAGCAUGCGGAUUAAUUCGAUGCAACGCGAAGAACCUUACCAAGGCUUGACAUAUAGAGGAAACGGCUGGAAACAGUCGCCCCGCAAGGUCUCUAUACAGGUGGUGCAUGGUUGUCGUCAGCUCGUGUCGUGAGAUGUUGGGUUAAGUCCCGCAACGAGCGCAACCCUCGUUCUAUGUUGCCAGCACGUAAUGGUGGGAACUCAUGGGAUACUGCCGGGGUCAACUCGGAGGAAGGUGGGGAUGACGUCAAAUCAUCAUGCCCCUUAUGUCUUGGGCUUCACGCAUGCUACAAUGGCCGGUACAAAGGGCUGCAAUACCGUGAGGUGGAGCGAAUCCCAAAAAGCCGGUCCCAGUUCGGAUUGAGGUCUGCAACUCGACCUCAUGAAGUCGGAGUCGCUAGUAAUCGCAGAUCAGCAACGCUGCGGUGAAUACGUUCCCGGGUCUUGUACACACCGCCCGUCAAGUCAUGAAAGUCGGUAACACCUGAAGCCGGUGGCCCAACC